rfam:Pteropus alecto contig25607, whole genome shotgun sequence.
GUCUACAGCCAUGCCGCCCUGAAUACACCCAAUCCCAUUUGAUCUUGGAAGCUAAGCAGGGUCGGGCCUGGUUAGUACUUAAAUGGGAGACCACCUAGGAAGAUGAAGUGCUGUAGGCA